CCUACGGGGGGCAGCAGUCGAGAAUCAUUCACAAUGGGGGAAACCCUGAUGGUGCGACGCCGCGUGGGGGAAUGAAGGUCUUCGGAUUGUAAACCCCUGUCAUGUGGGAGCAAAUUAAAAAGAUAGUACCACAAGAGGAAGAGACGGCUAACUCUGUGCCAGCAGCCGCGGUAAUACAGAGGUCUCAAGCGUUGUUCGGAAUCACUGGGCGUAAAGCGUGCGUAGGCUGUUUCGUAAGUCGUGUGUGAAAGGCGCGGGCUCAACCCGCGGACGGCACAUGAUACUGCGAGACUAGAGUAAGGGAGGGGGAACCGGAAGUCUCGGUGUAGCAGUGAAAUGCGUAGAUAUCGAGAGGAACACUCGUGGCGAAGGCGGGGUCCUGGACAUUAACUGACGCUGAGGCACGAAGGCCAGGGGAGCGAAAGGGAUUAGAUACCCUGGUAGUC
rnacentral:rRNA from 1 species